UACGUAGGGUGCAAGCGUUAAUCGGAAUUACUGGGCGUAAAGCGUGCGCAGGCGGUUCGCUAAGACAGAUGUGAAAUCCCCGGGCUUAACCUGGGAACUGCAUUUGUGACUGGCGGGCUAGAGUGAUGGCAGAGGGGGGGUAGGAAUUCCACGUGUAGCAGUGAAAUGCGUAGAGAUGUGGAGGAAUACCGAUGGCGAAGGCAGCCCCUGGCCAUACGGUCGAACCAGUCGAUCCACUUCGACUACCACGGAAAAAAGGCCGGUUGGGGGGGGAAGGCCAAAAAACCAAGGGGAUUUUAAGGAAAAAACCCCCCCCGGGGUUAAGUUCCCCAAGGAACCCCAAAAGGUUCCUUCCUUGGCCUUAACCCCGGUUAAAAUUCCAACCCCGGAACCUUGGCCCCCCAAUUAAGGAAGGAAGGGGCCUUGGAAGGAACCUUGGCCCCAAAAGGGGCCAACCAACCAAGGG
rnacentral:rRNA from 1 species